rnacentral:rRNA from 1 species
CACGCAGGCGGUUGUGCAAGUCUGAUGUGAAAGACCUGGGCUCAACUCAGGGAACGCGUUGGAAACUGCAUGACUAGAGUAUUAGAGGGGGAGUCGGAAUUCCUAGUGUAGGGGUGAAAUCUGUUGAUAUUAGGAAGAACACCGGUGGCGAAGGCGGACUCCUGGCUGAAUACUGACGCUGAGGUGCGAAAGCGAUAGGGAGACAAACA